GCCGGCAGCUAGCUCUCUGCAACUCUCACAUGAAGCUAACUGAAGUUAAGCAGGGCUGCGCCCGGUCAGUACCAGGAUGGGAGACCACAUGGGAAAGCUAGGUUGCUGCCGGAA
rfam:Danio rerio chromosome 13, GRCz11 reference primary assembly.